rnacentral:ncRNA from 2 species
UACUUAUCAAGAGAGGUGGAGGGACUGGCCCUAUGAAACCCGGCAACCUAUGCUUUUAUGCAUACAAGGUGCUAAAUCCUGCAGCAGUAGCUGGAAGAUAAGGG